AACUCUAAAAGGUCAUGCAUCAAGGCUAGAAAUGAGGCACAUUUCCUGAAAAAAAAUUUCACAUCCCACCCAUCUAGAAAACACAGAUCAUCAUGAACGAUGUACAAGAGAGUGUCCUUCACGUCAUAAAGCCAGUAGAAGUGAGGAGAGCGCUUUCACGAGUCAAAACUACAAGUAUGUGUUUUAAUUUGUACAUACAUUUAUUAUUUACAUAUAUUAUUUAAUUCAACUUUAAUAUUAGAAAAGUAACUGUCCUUCCUUUCAUGCAUAUAACGAGAACAAAACAGACCCAAUUCAACAAAUUUAGUGAGAUCGAGGUGGUUACACUUGAACCAGUACCAACAGAAUUCCAUCAAAAUGCCAUUUGUCUUCAACAAAAUAAAUGUUAAGUAUAACUUUAAGUAAUAUGUCUUAAUAGGUAAAUUGGUAAUUAUAAUGAUUCAAGCUGAAUUUACUGCAUGCUGGUUUUGUCAUUCCCUCUUUUCCAGAAAUCCUCAGACCAGACUCCGAUAAGAACACGUCAGAAAUCCUCCAAGAAUAAAACACAUGUAUCCUACCAGUGCAGAAUAUGUGCAGGUUUUCUUCUUGGGAAAUAUUACUUUCCUUAUGAAUCUAGAAGGAAAUGGCUAUUUAUGUCACCAGUUCCUCAAACACAUAUUCAGCGCAAGGAGAAUAAUGUUGUCUGAAGAAACUCCAGGAUCCUAUCCCAGAUCUAUGUUAGGGCAUCCCGUUGUUUCUGUACUGCCGUACGCCUGUGCCAGUUUUGUUGGGUGUGGCAGAUAGCAGUAUUGUCCAGUUUGUCCCGUUACAUCAACUUUUCGGGUUUAGACUGAUCGGCGCUCAUUCUGUAAUUUGACGUGACUGACUGCUGCAGUGUCCGGUGCUGUGUGUCCAACAAAAAGCAGGGAGGCAGAUUUUCCACACUGUGCGGUGGUGGUGCUGUCUUAUCACAGUGUGCAGUGUUGUGCCGUGUCGAUCACCAACAGUAAUUUCACUGGGUAGUGUGCGAGUGUGUGCACUGAUAGUGUGUGAUAAUUGAAAUUUACGCUCCCUUAGGAGUUUGAUACCAGCUGGCCACAGCCCUGUUUAUCAUUUUGUGUGGUGUUGUGUAUUUUGGAGGUUAGCAGCAAGUAGUACCAUUAUUUUUAAGUUUGUUGCUUAUGUGAUUUUUUUUUUUUAACAAAAUAAUUUAUUAAUUGAAUUAAUAAAACAAAAUAUAUUUCUGUACCCACGUCUCUUGCUCAUUUAUUCAGUAGAAUUGAACCGGUUUCCUUGAGUAGCACCUGAGGGUGUAUAGUAUUUCCUUGGGUGCAAGUCCCAGGGUGGCGUAGUCAUCUCUCCAGUAUUAUUGUUUCUGUUGUGCAAUGCCACUCUGCUACAAGUCUAUCCCACAAGAUUCUGCCCCAAUCACAUGUUGCCAAGCCCCUGUUACUCCUCCUCUUGGGCUUUGUGAGAUUUUGUUAAUAACUUCAAUAAACACACCUGAUCCAGCUAAUCAAGUUCUUCAGGCUCAACUGAAAACUACAUGGUUUGUUUGUUGGAGCAGGGUUGGAACUAAACCGAGCAACUGAGAAGGAGGGAAAGAAAUGUCCUGGAGUCGAUUCCAAUUCCAGAAACGGAUACUUAAGGUUAAGAAUCGGACACUUGUUGUAAAAUUAAAAUUUCGAUUCCGCCUAUCGAUUUCUGUGUGCGUUUUUUUUCUUCUUCAUCUGUGAGGACCCGACCUAGCGAUCUGCCAGAACCUUGCUCACUAAUCUAAGCGCUCCAAAGUUUCGCUACAUUUGCGAUCAGAAGCCAAAAAAGCUAAGUAUAAUAUCUGUGAUAGCUAAACGUGUUGCGAGAGAGGGGUCACCAACAACAUGACAGAGCACAUUAAUUUAAUAGAUUGUUAAAGAUUGCAAACACGAUUCAAACACCGAAGUGAUUCUAUUCCUAAAUUACAAUGAUUCGUCUGUUUCAUUCCUCAACCUUUGACAUGUGCGAUCACAACGUUGCGAUCACUUGGUUCGUGGUCACAAUGUUUGGAUCAGUAUAUCCACCGGAAAAGGAAGUCUGACUUAAAAUGAAACGUCUGAGCGCUGACGCUCAGCAGAUCUACACCCGUGGCACUCUCUGACCUCAGAACAUCAGGAUCUAUACAACAUGUCCCAUGACUCUUGACCAUCUGCGUCCUGCCCUUUUGAAACCCAACUCACCCUCUUUUCUCUUACAACAAAAGACCCAGAACCUUGCAUGACGAUUUUUAAAAGACAAUCAUUUAGAACCAUUUAAAGUAUUGGAGCAAUAUACUCCCCAAAUAAUAUGCUCUAUGAUUGAGAAGUUAUUGUAACCAAUGAAGUCUAAUUAAUGUGUAUCUUCUAUUAGCAGAGAAAGCUAUUAACAUGUGUGUGAACUAUGUGAAGUUUGGUCUUGAAAGGAAGUUUAUUUUAAAUGCAGAAUGUUGAAAUGAAUCAAAAGUGCAUAUUAUAUACAGUGUUCAUAAGGUGAAAUUUUUAACAGAACUUGCAGAGAUAUUCCCCACUGGAAGAUUACAUCUUAGUUUAAUUUGUGUCCAAAGAGGAACAGUAUGGGGCGGGGCUCAGCCUUGCAGGGACAAUUUGAUUGGAUCAAUCGCCGUGGGACGGACCAAAAUCAGGCCGCUUAAAACUGAACACAAAGUUUGGCUGCUGGCUUGCUCUCUCGAUCUUUGGCUCUUUCGCCUUUGUUGACCGCGCCACACGCUGUACCAUCCCGUGAGCGAGACAUCCAGAUCACAAACACUCCGUAACUCUCACAAAAUCUUCAAAGCCUAAAGCCGUGCAAACAGACUCUCUGAAUAACUUCAAGCGCAUCAUCCUCCACAGUUAAGGCAACGCACUUCCGAAGCUAAUCCGUAACCAAGCAACGCCCAUUCAGCACGAGGGUUUUUUUCCCACAAGACAUCAUCCGAACGACAGAUCAGCAGCCAAUCAGGAACACCGUGUUUCCCUGAGACAAGCCAGGAAAGGAAACCCUGCACAGCUGUCAAAUCAAUCACAGGUAGCAAGCAAAAUCUCCAUAUCUUGCUGGGAACUGGUCGAAUUAAUCUUUAAGAGUAAAGAUAAUAAAGUGCUCUGCUUGUGAUUUUCCUCAGGUUAAAUUUAGGUAUCUAGUCGCAGAUAUUAGAAUUGUGGGAAGUUUCUUAAAAUCGCAAUAACUCAUUUUCUGAAUGUGUGUGGGUGUGUGUGUUUUAGUUUAGUUUACUGUACCUUAGAAUAGUGAAUAAACAUCUGUGCCAUUGAUAAAGAAUCCUUGUCUUGUGUCAUGUGUUUUGAAGUCAAACUUUUCCCAG